GUAGUCCACGCCGUAAACGAUGUCGACUUGGAGGUUGUUCCCUUGAGGAGUGGCUUCCGGAGCUAACGCGUUAAGUCGACCGCCUGGGGAGUACGGCCGCAAGGUUAAAACUCAAAUGAAUUGACGGGGGCCCGCACAAGCGGUGGAGCAUGUGGUUUAAUUCGAUGCAACGCGAAGAACCUUACCUACUCUUGACAUCCACGGAAUUUGGCAGAGAUGCCUUAGUGCCUUCGGGAACCGUGAGACAGGUGCUGCAUGGCUGUCGUCAGCUCGUGUUGUGAAAUGUUGGGUUAAGUCCCGCAACGAGCGCAACCCUUAUCCUUUGUUGCCAGCGAUUCGGUCGGGAACUCAAAGGAGACUGCCGGUGAUAAACCGGAG
rnacentral:rRNA from 1 species